UGACUCUGUCUGAUAGGGGGCGGGGGAAAAGAAAUCGAUAAAGCAUAGUGUCGCGAUAUUUUCUGUCGCAACACUGUAUCAAUACACAGAUGCCGAGUAUCGAUCUUUUAUUAUAUAUGUGUUGGUGAGUUUGUCUGCUUAACAAUCCUAUUUUGCAGCAAUAAAAUUGAAGUGAUAUGAACAAAUUUAUCUUUUUUUAG